rnacentral:rRNA from 1 species
UGCAGUCGAGCGGAUGAGAGAGCUUGCUCUCUGAUUCAGCGGCGGACGGGUGAGUAAUGCCUAGGAAUCUGCCUGGUAGUGGGGGACAACGUCUCGAAAGGGACGCUAAUACCGCAUACGUCCUACGGGAGAAAGCAGGGGACCUUCGGGCCUUGCGCUAUCAGAUGAGCCUAGGUCGGAUUAGCUAGUUGGUGAGGUAAUGGCUCACCAAGGCGACGAUCCGUAACUGGUCUGAGAGGAUGAUCAGUCACACUGGAACUGAGACACGGUCCAGACUCCUACGGGAGGCAGCAGUGGGGAAUAUUGGACAAUGGGCGAAAGCCUGAUCCAGCCAUGCCGCGUGUGUGAAGAAGGUCUUCGGAUUGUAAAGCACUUUAAGUUGGGAGGAAGGGCAGUAACUUAAUACGUUGCUGUUUUGACGUUACCGACAGAAUAAGCACCGGCUAACUCUGUGCCAGCAGCCGCGGUAAUACAGAGGGUGCAAGCGUUAAUCGGAAUUACUGGGCG